rnacentral:rRNA from 1 species
CCUACGGGUGGCAGCAGUGAGGAAUAUUGGUCAAUGGGCGCAAGCCUGAACCAGCCAAGUAGCGUGAAGGAUGACGGCCCUCCGGGUUGUAAACUUCUUUUAUAAAGGAAUAAAGUGAGGCACGUGUGCCUUUUUGUAUGUACUUUAUCAUUAAGGAUCCGCUAACUCCGUGCCUGCAGCCGCGGUAAUACGGAGGAUCCGAGCGUUAUCCGGAUGUAUUGGGUUUUAAGGGAGCGUAGAUGGGUUGGUAAGUCAGGUGUGAAAGUUUGCGGCUCAACCGUCAAAUUGCAAUUGAUACUGGCAGUCUGGAGUACAGUGGAGGUAGGCGGAAUUCGUGGUGUAGCGGUGAAAUGCUUAGAUAUCACGAAGAACUCCGAUUGCGAAGGCAGCUUACUGAACUGCAACUGACGUUGAGGCUCGAAAGUGUGGGUAUCAAACAGGAUUAGAUACCCGUGUAGUC